UAGUCCACGCCGUAAACGAUGAUCACUCGCUGUUGGCGAUAUACUGUCAGUGGCUGAGCGAAAGCAUUAAGUGAUCCACCUGGGGAGUACGAUCGCAAGGUUGAAACUCAAAGGAAUUGACGGGGGCCCGCACAAGCGGAGGAGCAUGUGGUUUAAUUCGAUGAUACGCGAGGAACCUUACCUAGGCUUAAAUGCAGAACGACGUUUCGUGAAAGCGGAAUUUCUUCGGACGGUCUGCAAGGUGCUGCAUGGUUGUCGUCAGCUCGUGCCGUGAGGUGUCGGGUUAAGUCCCAUAACGAGCGCAACCCCUAUUCUUAGUUGCCAUCAGGUCAUGCUGGGGACUCUAAGGUAACUGCCUACGCAAGUAGUGAGGAAGGUGGGGAUGACGUCAAAUCAGCACGGCCCUUAUGCCUAGGGCUACACACGUGCUACAAUGGCCGGUACAGAGGGCAGCUACCUGGUAACAGGAUGCAAAUCUCGAAAGCCGGUACUC
rnacentral:rRNA from 1 species